AUGGAGUUUCAUCUUGAGCAAAAGCAGCGCGUGAUUUUCUAGCUCUCCUCAUGACAGACUCAAUUUGAAAACAGAAUUGCAUCUUUGCAAAGGGCUGAGAUUUGUCUCCUGUCGCUACCAGAAAGUGUGGCUCAAAGGCAGCCAGCACAAGGAGGGAGCAGUUUCAGUCCAAGGCAUCGAACCUGCAUCGCAUCAGGGUUCACUCCUGGAUCGGGGGUGAACCUGUGGAGUGAGGCUCCCUGGUUUUGGUGGUGGAGGCCGUGACGUGUUGCUGCUCCCCUGGGAAUGCUGCUGGAGAGCUGCACGUGUCACCCUUGGCAGCCUCAACUGCUCGCCCCAAAGGGCGCUGGUGGCUAAGGGUGUUUUCUGCUAACCUGAAAACCAGGCUUGGCCCGGUCUUGAGGAGGGCCAUGCAGCCCCUUUCCCGACGGGAACCGGCUCCGUGGCUUUCCGUUGGCAUUUGCAGCACGGAGCGGAAGCGCCGGCCGCUUGUGAUGCUGAAGUUGGGGUUAUUAAUCACGUUCUGGGUGCAGAACGUCCUGGCUGUGCUCGCGUGUCGGAGGAGUAGCCUCCAGGAUUAAUUGGUAUUGACAAAUUCACUUAGCAACUUGCUUAGCAACCACGCGCCGCCUGCCACCGAUUCCUGGGGUUGUAGCCUCCUCGUGUGAAGCCUAAAAGACCAGCCCUGCAUUGGGGUACACGGGGUGUGAACAGAGGUGCCUUUGAGCCAGUUUGUGCCCUGUUCCCUCUGGAAAACAGUGGAGAUCCAGCCCGGCUGGCUCGGCUUUUGGGGUGCUGUGUAUUACACCUGAACCCAUCCCUGCCCGUUAAAUUGGAGCUUUGGAUGGCAGUCCCAGAAGUUGUUAUCCAUGUGCUGAUGGUGCCCGUGAGGACUCACGCUGGGGAUAACCACAUCUUUUUUCAUUCUGAUAAUAAUUAAGCUAAUUUACUAAUGGGGGUCGUCGUUUCCUUAAGUGUUGCGUUGAUAUGCUCCAGCACAGCUAUGAGGUAUGUGCCUGAUGCAAAUAUUACCGAGUGAAAUGCUAGCCUGCCUGUUGAGAUCAGACUCUAUUAGCAAUAAUUCCCCUCAGCCUUUAAUUCUCCCCAUCUAUGGGAUAAGUUUCCAUAGAAAUUAUCCUUCAAAAUUUCUAAAUCAGAGCUGUGUGUGCUCUGGUGUAUGCAAAAUACAACCAUACCCACCAAGUGGAGGAGAGCACUGCUGGCGUAUAUUGCAGCCAAAAACCACGGCCAUAUGCUCAUCAAAUACAGUGACUUUAUCAGAUCUUCUGGAUAAAAGGGACUGAACUUUGCAUGUGUGGAUAGCUGAAACAAGCCUUUCUCCCGUGAAUAUAAUGGGCCUGGUCAGAGUAAUGACUGUUGAACAGGUUUAACAGUUAUUAAUUGAAUAUGAAAAGAAAAAUCUUUAAAUAGAUUCACAGCAUUAACUGAACGCAACCACCACUCCUAGCUGUUGUCAGAUUAAUUUCUGAGCUCUUGAUAUUUCUGAGACAAUAGUGUCUUAAUUCUUCUGGUAGCACUCUUUUAAAAAAUAACCAACAAUCGUGUCUAUUUGACAAAAUAAAGAUAAAUCUUUAUUUCCAAACUAAAGGAUGACAGUCCCUUCUUCAAAAGAGAGGAAAAGGUUGCUAACCAUUUUGCUUUUUGCAGCAGGAAAAUUUUCAGGCGUGGGACUAGCAAAACAAAGAAUUACUUGCUGUAGGUAAAGGGUUUUUUCUUUCACAUCUAACCGUUGCACUCUAAUGGAAAGGUCAGGUGUGUCAGAGCUGGUUAAGCUUUGAAGAAGACAGAUGUGUGUAAGCAGGAAGAACAUAAAGGGGAAUGGAAUAGCUUAAAGGAAUAAGCAGAAAGAGCUGGGCUUUAAAUUUCGUUCU